CACGCCCGUUUUACUGCCCCGUUCCAGAUACGGCCCGCAUGUAGUCUGUGUAAUCAAGAGUAGGCAUCAGUCGGCGGAAUCAUAAUAGUUCUGGCCCGGACUCGUCGGAACGAGCGCGCGAACUGUUGGUCUUUCUUUGGAUCAAUUCGGACUGCAAGCUUUGUGGAAAGAGUUUAUAACGAUUUCGGCUCUAGGUGCUGUAGGAGGACAGAACUUGGAAUAUACUUAAGGAUUUUCUCAAACACAGUGGCCAAACAGAUUAAUUGGAAAGGAGUAAACGGGAAAAGAGGUUUUAAAGAAAUGCUGACACAAACUCUGUUGAUCAAGGCUGUAUGGAAGAACCAAGCUGCUAGCAGCGCAUCGGACAACGAGAUUAACCAGCACGCCAUCCGCUGGUUCAACCUGGCCUCUGACCGUGGAGGUGGCCGCAAAGAACGUGCCAUGGCCAGAGAGGCCAUUCAUUAACCGUGAAAUGAACGCAUCGGCCAUCCCCCACUCUUCCACCACUGAUGAUUUGUUGGGUGUUAUGUGAGAGUUGUGGCAUUCCCACUUCACUUGCCUCAUCAAUGUUUCCUGUAAAGCCACCAAAGAACGCGUAUGAACAUUUUGCAGUUUUUUCUGGGUUUCAUAUGACUAGAGUUGGAUAUUGUAUUUUGGCUAUAAAACCUUUGUUAUUUAUACCAUGGUCAUGGAAAAUGGUUAAAAUCUAAAUGGCUGGCAGGUAUUAUCUAUUAAGACAAACUUAUCGCUAAUUAAAACGUUACAUCUUGUGUGUUUAGGCCGUAGAAUCUCGUUUCUCUGCUGGCUUUAGCUUUUUUUUCUGCUUUAAUUUAAAAAAUAACAAACAAAAAAAACACCUGUGUCAUAGGUAUGUGGUAGUAAAGAAGUUUCUUAUUCCUACAGUUGUCCUGUAGUUGUUCCUACAAGAAGUUUCUUAUUCCUACAGUUGUCCUGUAGUUGUUCCUACAAGACGUUUCUUAUUCCUACAGUUGUUAAAGAGAGAAAUGAGCUGUAAAAUGUGUUUCUGUCCUGUCUUUUUA